rnacentral:misc_RNA from 1 species
GAUGAAGAACGUAGCGAAAUGCGAUACUUGGUGUGAAUUGCAGAAUCCCGUGAACCAUCGAGUCUUUGAACGCAAGUUGCGCCUCAAGCCAUUAGGUUGAGCGCACGUCUGCCUGGGCGUCACAUAUCGUUGCCUGAUGCCAGUUUCCUCGUGAUGGGUGACUGUGCAGGGCGAAUGAUGGCUUCCCGUGAGCAUUGUUGCCUCAUGGUUGGUUGAAAAUUGAGUCCUUGGUAGGGAGCGCCGUGAUAGAUGGUGGUUGAGUGACGAACGAGACCCAAUCAUGUGAGACCCCUACCGAAUUUGGCCUUCAUGACCCACAUGCGUCUUUGGAACGCUCAUGACGAGACCUCAGGUCAGGCGGGGCUACCCGCUGAGUUUAAGCAUAUCAAUAAGCGGAGGA